rnacentral:rRNA from 1 species
AUUGAACGCUGGCGGCAGGCCUAACACAUGCAAGUCGAACGAGUGGCGGACGGGUGAGUAAUGACUGGGAAACUGCCUGAUGGAGGGGGAUAACUACUGGAAAAGGUAGCUAAUACCGCAUACCAUCAGAUGGGCCCAGAUGGGAUUAGCAAGUUGGUGGGGUAACGGCUCACCAAGGCGAAGAUCCCUAGCUGGUCUGAUAGGAUGACCAGCCACGCUGGAACUGAGACACGUUCCAGACUCCUACGGGAUUCAGCAGUGUGGAAUAUUGCACAAUGGGCGCAAGCCGUCUGCAGCCCUGCCGCUUGUAUGAAGAAGCCCUUCGGGUUGUAAAGUACUUUCAGCGGGGAGGCGUUACCCGCAUAAGAAGCACCUGCUAACUCCGUGCCAGCAGCCGCGGUAAUUC